rnacentral:rRNA from 1 species
UACGGAGGAUGCAAGCGUUAUCCGGAAUGAUUGGGCGUAAAGCGUCCGCAGGUGGCUAUGUAAGUCUGCUGUUAAAGAGUCUAGCUCAACUAGAUAAGAGCAGUGGAAACUACAAGGCUAGAGUACGUUCGGGGCAGAGGGAAUUCCUGGUGUAGCGGUGAAAUGCGUAGAGAUCAGGAAGAACACCAGUGGCGAAGGCGCUCUGCUAGGCCGUAACUGACACUGAGGGACGAAAGCUAGAGGAGCGAAUGGG